CAAUAGCGUAUAUUAAAGUUGUUGCAGUUAAAAAGCUCGUAGUUGAAUUUUGGAUUUGUUUGCAGGGUCUCUUCGAAAGAGGAGCACUUUGUGAAUGGGUCUUGUUUGUAGUGAACCCAUGUGUCAUUUACUUGGUGUGCGGUGGAACUACAGGUUUACUUUGAAAAAAUUAGAGUGUUUAAGGCAAGCAUCACUUGAAUACAUUAGCAUGGAAUAAUAGAAUAGGACUUUGGUUCUAUUUUGUUGGUUUCUAGGACCAAGGUAAUGAUUAAUAGGGAUAGUUGGGGGCAUUAGUAUUUCAUUGUCAGAGGUGAAAUUCUUGGAUUUAUGAAAGACUAACUUGUGCGAAAGCAUCUGUCCAGAAUGUUUUCAUUAA
rnacentral:rRNA from 1 species